AAGGGAGACCUAAUUCAGGUAUGGGACGAAAAAAAAGUAGUCGCUACCAAGAAUCAAUCCCAAAAGGUCGGAGCGAGGUAUGAGGCUUUCAAACUAGGUUCUGGGUUCAAACAAGACCUGAAUCAGGAACAAGGGCUAUUAGCUCAGGUGGUUAGAGCGCACCCCUGAUAAGGGUGAGGUCCCUGGUUCGAGUCCAGGAUGGCCCACCUGCACAGGUGGCAUAAACAAGAGAAGCUCCGAAUCAGCACCUUAUCUUAUCUAUAUAUAAGAGAGAAUGCUGGCUCUGAGUAAAGAGUCCAGAGGAACCUUGAAAACUGCAUAGAGCUAGGUGAAAAAGCCAAAAAAGAAGACCGCAA
rnacentral:tRNA from 1 species